CAGCAGCCGCGGGAAUACGUAGGGUGCGAGCGUUAAUCGGAAUUACUGGGCGUAAAGCGUGCGCAGGCGGUUCGUUAAGACAGAUGUGAAAUCCCCGGGCUUAACCUGGGAACUGCAUUUGUGACUGGCGAGCUAGAGUAUGGCAGAGGGGGGUAGAAUUCCACGUGUAGCAGUGAAAUGCGUAGAGAUGUGGAGGAAUACCGAUGGCGAAGGCAGCCCCCUGGGCCAAUACUGACGCUCAUGCACGAAAGCGUGGGGAGCAAACAGGAUUAGAUACCCGGGUAGUCCCUGUCUCUUAUAC
rnacentral:rRNA from 1 species